GUGGGGAAUCUUGGGCAAUGGGCGCAAGCCUGACCCAGCCAUGCCGCGUGUGCGAAGAAGGCCUUCGGGUUGUAAAGCACUUUCAGUGGUGAAGAAAAGCCAGGGGCUAAUACCCCCAGGUCUUGACGUUAGCCACAGAAGAAGCACCGGCUAACUCCGUGCCAGCAGCCGCGGUAAUACGGAGGGUGCGAACGUUAAUCGGAAUUACUGGGCGUAAAGCGCGCGUAGGCGGUUCGGUAAGUGGGAUGUGAAAGCCCUGGGCUUAACCUGGGAACUGCAUUCCAAACUGCCGAGCUAGAGUAUGGUAGAGGGAGGUAGAAUUUCCUGUGUAGCGGUGAAAUGCGUAGAUAUAGGAAGGAAUACCAGUGGCGAAGGCGGCCUCCUGGAUCAAUACUGACGCUGAGGUGCGAAAGCGUGGGGAGCAAACAGGAUUAGAUACCCGGGUAGUCC
rnacentral:rRNA from 1 species